GGGAUGUAGCACAGUGAUAGUGCGAGUGCCUGUAACGCAAAAGGUUCCGAGUCCGAUUCUCGGUGGGUCACA